UUGGGGAUUUACUAUUUUUAGUAAGUUUUUGGGGAUGGGGAUAGAGACCCCAAUGAGAAUGCUCUAAGUCAUUAACUAUAAAUUAAAAAUUAAGAAAAAUUAUACAUACAUAUACGUAAAUUACAAAACUGUACGUAUAGAAAGGUUUUAUUUGCUCAUCUCCCUUUUCCUCUCCACUCUUCUUCUCCGAUGACCCUGCAGAUGGUUCCCGGCGAUAAUAACGAAAGAUUCGACUGUACACAAGCGAGUCUGCAGUUUGACCGAUUAAUUUAAGUUUUUUUUCCAAAAAAAGUUGUUGUAAAUUAUGGAUUGUGCCACUCCCGCACCUCAUCCCCGCACCCCGCGUAUCCCCAUCCCUCCACCGAUACGCCACGUGGCGUAUCCCGCCGCACUCCGCUGCACCCCGCACUCCCAAGUAUCCCCUACGCAGUUCUUCUCUCGUAUGGAGUAUCUCCCUGCUUUCUAGUUAAAAACUAUGGCCUUUAAUUGGAUGGUAAUACAUGAAAUUAAUUCCAUGUCACUACUUGAAGGGAUUACCAGCCAGAGAUCUUCCAAUUUCUCCCCAUGAAACCAUAAUGAGACUACUGAAUUUACUGAGGCAUGCUGUUGCGCUGAGAUUCGCUACAGGUUGGGAUGAAUUAUGCUGAGAUCUUUCCCAGAAAUAAGUUUGAGUGCGGGCU
rnacentral:lncRNA from 1 species